rnacentral:lncRNA from 1 species
CGGGGCUUCGUUAGCGCUGCUCUCGCCUGGAGGCCUCGGGGUGGCCUAGCCAGCUGGCCGUUCUUUAAUUAUGCACGGAGGCGUGUCUUGGCCAGUCGGGAGCUGGGUGGGGAUUGGCUGGAGGGACUGUAAUUCAGCGGUUUCCGGAGCUGCAGUGUAGACAGGGAGGGGGAACCUGGGGUUCCGACGUCGCGGCGGAGGGAACGAGCCCUAACCGGAUCGCCGAGGCACAACCCGGCUCGGUGUCGCCUGACCGCGUAGGCUAAGAGAGGCCAGGCGGCCCUCGGGAGCCCAGCUGCUCGCGUCUGGAGCCAGCGCAGCCCGGCCAGGCGGGCCUCAGCCCGGGAGACAGGGUCAUUUUCUAGCACCCACACUGCCAUUCAUCAGUCAUCUAUAACUCCAGUUAAACGGGAUUCAGUGCUCAUGUCUGGCCUCUGCUGGCAUGCACACAGUGCAGGUAUGUAACAUGCAAACAAAAUUCUCAUAUACAUAAAAGAAAAAUAAACCUUUAAAACAAAAAAAGAAAAUAGGAUCAUACUGUCUUAGUUACUGUUCUGUUGCUGUGAAGAGACACCAUGACCCAAACAAGUCUUAUUAAAGAAAGCAUUUAACUGGGGGCUUGUUUACAGUUUUAGAGGGUCAGUCAAUGGUCAUCAUGGCAGGACGUAGACAGGCAUGGGGCCCUGGAGCAGUAGCUGAGAGCUUUACAUCCUAAGCGACUGGGCCUGAUGUGGGCUUUUGAUGACUCAAAGCCCCCUUCCAGUAACACACCCACUCCAACAAGGCCACACCUCUUAAUCCUUCCCAAACAUGCAAACAUCCAAGCUUAUGGGGACCAUUCUCAUUCAAGGUACCACACACAUGCUUUGCCUUUCCUUCCUUUGUACAUUCGCAUUGAUGAUCUAUCUAACUGAAGCCUCAUAAAACCAGCAGAGCAGGAAGCCUAUGUCACGCUGUAAUCUAGCCACUGUGGCAGUGACAUGGUUUCUCUUCUGGCAUCCGUGAUGGUAUUUAACAUUCAAAUUGUUAGGCAAAUCACUUCCUAUGUUCUGGCAUUUGGUGAAGUGGUUGCUAAAGUGGAGGCUCCAAGUGAUUGUGAAGACAAAAAUGCUUUUUAGUUAGAAUUUAGUGGAAGCUGGGCAUGGUGUGGUAUACCCUUAUAGUCCUGGUACUCAGAGACUGAGGCAGGGAGAUCAGGUGUUCAAGGCCAGCCUAGGCUACAGCCAGACCCUGCUCAAAAAAGAACUUGGUGGAGUAAUUCAGAUUAAUCUGGGCUUUUUGUUUUUGUUGGUGUUUGUGGUGUUGGUGAUGGAACGUUCUGGGUAAGCACUGUGCCUCCAAGUAGCACUCCCAGCCUCUAAAUCAGUUUGUAAUUUGAAAAACAGAAUUGAGAUUUUAAAGUGACUCUUCUAAAUGUUUUCCCGUAAAACAAUUACAGCGAAGCCAAUUGGCAGUGAUUUUCCUAGACAGUUUGGCUAGUUAGCUCUAGGGGAUCUGUGGCUCUUGUGAAGAACAUUGGGUCCAAUUGCCCUGUGCUGACUGUUAAUUAACAUAGUUUGUAGCUAAGCAGCAUGUAAGCUGUUGGACACUGAGGGCUAAACCAUGUCACCCAAAUGCCCAUGGUUUCUUUCCCUGGAAAUACCACCUGCUCUUUGCCUUUAAUUCAGAAUAAUUUUCCUUCAUGUAGAAUACUUCGACAGUAUUGCCUAUCUUGGUUACCAAGACAAAAUACAAAAAUUAGUCUUUUUUUUCUCCAUACAGGGUUUCUCUGUGUAACAGUUCUGGCUGUCCUGAAACUCACUAUGUAGACCAGGCUGACCUUGAACUCACAGAUAUCCACUUGCCUCUGCCUUCUGAGUGCUGGGAUAAAAGGUGCACGUCACUGUGCCCAUCAAAAUUAGUGCCUCCAAAUGCCAGGAUUAAAGAUAUGUGCUAUCAUGCACAACCUAUUAAGUUUUCCAGUAGCUGUACUAAACAUAAAAAGAAAUAGGUGAAAUAAUUUUAAUAAUGUAUUUAACCCAACGUUUCUAAAAUAAUGUUUCAACAUUGAUAUUUGCACAUUUUCUCUCUUUCUGUUUCCAAACGCAGCCUAUAGGGUGUGAAUCAUCCACAUUUCCAUAGCUCAGUGGACACAUGUGGUUGGUGUCUCUCAUGCCAAACAAUGGAGUCUUGAUGUUCAAGGCAAUCCUGUGCAGUGGCUUUGACAUAAUUGGCAUUAGAUUUUCAUUGUGUUCGUGCUCAUGCAUGUGUAGGCAUGAUGUGUGUGUGUGUGUGUGUGUGUGUGUGUGUGUGUAUGCCUGUCUAGGUCAGAGGACAACUGUGGAUGUCAUUUCACCUUUGGUUUGAGACAGCGUUUCUCAUUAGCCUGAAACUUUGCCAAGUAGGCUAGACUAGCUGGCCAUUGAACUCCAGGGGUCCACUGGUCUCCACCUCCUAUCUUGCUAUCACUAGGAUUAUGGGCGUAUACCACCACACCCAGCUUUUAUUAAUGUGUGAAUCCUGGGAAUCAACUCAGCUCCUCAACACUUGUGAGGCAAGCACAUUUCCAACUGAACCACCUUCCCAGCUUUAGCUUGUCGAGGAUUGCAUGCAAAUCGGGUCCUGUAAACCACAGGACAACAGUGAUUCUUUUAACCUGUGAGGACGCUGAUUCUGACUUGGUCUUUGUGUCAGAGAGUCCUUUUGCUUUCUUACUGGGGGCAAUACACAGUCACGAUGCUUCAGGCUGGAACAUGGGCUCCGGCAGGCUGUGCUUUUAUUCCACCUAGUGUUUGCCGUACUAAUACCACUCCCUAAUCUUGGGCUGUUACUCAUGGCUAUUUUUAGAUGGUAAGACUACUUGUUCUAGAGAGACAUUUUCAUGAGUGGUUAGCUGGGUUGCUUUCUUAUAGCUGAGCAUUUCAGUGGACUAGUCCCCAUCCCAGAAUCAACUUUUUAACAUGGUAUUUAGUUCUCUUACUUUUUUUUUUAAAUCCCAGAUUUAGAAUUUUUUUUUAAUUCCUUUUAUUGAGUGGGCAAAUUUCAGGCACCUGCCACUUAUCAUCGUAACCCUGCAGCUCUCUGCCCUUCCUCAGCACCCAGUCUGCAUUUUGACUUCAGAGCAGGUUUCUUUGUGUAGCUUCACAGAUGGCCUGAAUACAGUGUGGUGAGGAAGGAACUGGCAAGUGUUGAACAUCUGUUGGGUGCUGUGCUCUUAGUCAUGAGGGCUUUAGAAGUAUACUUCAGUGGCCCUGAGGGAUAGAAGUGUAAAGGUCUACAUUUUAUAAGUGAGGAAAUAGAAAUAGAAACCUAGAAGAAAGAAACCAUUCAGCUUCGCAUACUAAUUUGUUAACCGCACUUGCCUCUGGUAGAUAAUAGGUUUCUUGUUUGGUCAGUUUUUUAAAAAAAUUCUUGUAGUUUUAUUUUAUGUGUAUGAGUGGUUUUCCCACAUGUGUGCUAAUUGCCUUUCUGCUGCCCUCAGAGGAUAGAAGAGUGUGUCACAUAGAUCCCCUGGAGCUGGGGUUAUGGAUGGUUGUGUGCUACUGUUAUGCUUUUAUUUAAAAAGAAGGGGGCCAAUGUUAUGUUUUUAUUUAAAAGGAGGAAAAGAGAAAGCUGCGGGAUGAGACAUGUUAACUAGUUUAUUAUAUUGCCCGGCAGAGUAUGGAGACUAAGAGAGAAGAGGAACAGGGGUAAUGGCUGACAUAGAGGCAGAGAGAGUGCAUAGGUGGGAGAGAGUGAAGGAGAGAGAGAGAGAGGAGAGAGUAAAGAGAGGAAGCAGAGAGAGAGUGAAGCAGGAAAGUUGGAGCUUUUAAAGGGAAGACUGCGCAUGCGCACUGAGGUUCCACGCGUGCCCAGAGUCCUCAGCAGGCCCUAACGCAUGGCGGGUGACGUAAUGCAUGGCG